ACGCGAAAGUCCCCUUCGGGGGGCGAGUAGAGUGGCGCACGGGUGAGUAACACGUAGGUAAUUUGCCUUCGGGUGGGGAAUAACAGCCGGAAACGGCUGCUAAUACCGCAUAAUGCAGCGGCACCACAUGGUGACAGUUGUUAAAGCGGGGGAUUCGCAAGAACCUCGUGCCUGAAGAGAAGCCUGCGGCAGAUUAGCUAGUUGGUAGGGUAAUGGCCUACCAAGGCUACGAUCUGUAACCGGCCUGAGAGGGCGGUCGGUCACACUGACACUGACAUACGGGUCAGACUCCUACGGGAGGCAGCAGUCGGGAAUUUUGGGCAAUGGGCGAAAGCCUGACCCAGCAACGCCGCGUGAAGGAUGAAAUCCCUCGGGAUGUAAACUUCGCAAGAAUGGGAAGAAUAAGUGGGGGACAAUACCCCCCAUGAUGACGGUACCAUUUGUAAGCUCCGGCUAACUCCGUGCCAGCAGCCGCGGUAAUACGGGGGGAGCAAGCGUUGUUCGGAUUUACUGGGCGUAAAGGGCGCGUAGGCGGCCACGACAAGUCACUUGUGAAAUCUCCGGGCUUAACCCGGAGCGGUCAAGUGAUACUGUCGGGCUAGAGUACAGAAGGGGCAACUGGAAUUCUCGGUGUAGCGGUGAAAUGCGUAGAUAUCGAGAGGAACACCUGCGGGCGAGGCGGGUUGCUGGGCUGAUACUGACGCUGA
rnacentral:rRNA from 1 species